GUGCGCACAAUUACGAUCCCCCGAUACGUCACGCACAGGUGAGCUUCCGGCACAGUAACUUUCGCUAUGCACCUGAUUGGAAGCGUUCAGUCCUACACAAGGGCCGUACUGAAGAGCGUGUAACUGUGGCAGAACAGUCGAGGAUCAGGUCCUUCCACGAAUCCUAAUAAUUAAUCGUUUGAUAUGAUGACAUACGCAACUGGAAAGCACGCGCCAUUGAACGUUGCGCGUGCACGCUUGCGGUGCCUCCCAGUUUAGCACCAAGCCACACCCCUUCCUCCUCCUCCAGACGUCCAAUUCCUUCUCUCCCUAAUGCCCAGAACGCGUAGAACUGAUACGGUGCGAUCGGGAAUCUACCAUACUUACAGCAGGGGGGGACGUGAAAAGCCGCAGUUCUUGGAUCCUGAUCGUAAGGGAAUAGCGGACAGAGAGAGGGGGAAAUGGGUCCUCUAACAGUGGCCGGAGUGUGAUUAUUGUUCACUGUCUACCUGUUGUGCCUUCUUGUUUGCUUGGAGACCGGCUAGGAUUACAGCACUGGGGUCGGCGAGCAUGGCCUGGGUGAAGCUUUUUCGGCGUCAGGCAGGAGGGAACCUGGGAAAAGUGUACCAGCCUGGCAGCGUCCUCUCUCUGGCACCGACCAAGGGCCUGUUCAAUGAGCCCGGGCAGAACAGCUGUUUCCUGAACAGCGCCGUGCAGGUGCUGUGGCAGCUGGACAUUUUUCGACGCAGUUUACGCGGACUCACUGGACACGUUUGCUUAGGAGACGCCUGUAUAUUUUGUGCAUUAAAGUCCAUAUUUGCACAGUUUCAAACAAGCCGAGAGAAGGUUCUUCCAUCAGAUGCUAUGAGACAUGCCCUUGCAGAAAGCUUCAAAGAUGAGCAUCGCUUUCAGCUUGGCCUUAUGGAUGAUGCUGCUGAAUGUUUUGAAAACAUAUUGCAGCGGAUUCAUUUCCAUAUUGUGCCAAACAGUGAAGGCGAUAUGUGCACUUCAAAAUCUUGUAUCACCCAUCAGAAGUUUGCAAUGACUCUUUACGAACAGAGUGUUUGUCGCAGUUGUGGAGCCUCCUCUGACCCAUUACCUUUUACAGAGUUUGUGAGAUAUAUUUCUACAACAGCGCUUUGUAAUGAAGUUGACAGAAUGCUGGAAAGGCAUGAACGCUUGAAGCCAGAAAUGUUUGCUGAUUUACUUCAGGCUGCUAACACCACAGAUGAUUAUAGGAAGUGUCCGAGUAACUGUGGCCAGAAAAUUAAAAUCCGCCGUGUGCUUAUGAACUGCCCAGAAAUUGUUACUAUUGGCCUGGUUUGGGAUUCCGAUAACUCAGACUUAACUGAAGAUGUUGUACGAAAUUUGGCUACUCAACUUUAUUUACCUGGGCUGUUUUUUAGGGUUACUGAUGAGCAAGCCAAAGAAAGUAGACUUUACCUAGUGGGUAUGAUCUGCUACACGAGUAAACACUACUGUGCCUUUGCCUAUCACACAAAGAGUGCCAAGUGGUUUUUGUUUGAUGAUGCAUCCGUAAAAGAGGUUGGAACAAAGUGGAAAGAUGUGGUCACCAAGUGCAUUCGGUGUCACUACCAGCCUUUGCUUCUGUUUUAUGCAAAUCCUGAUGGCACAGCAGUAACAAAUGAGGAUGCACUGAGGCAGGUUCAGCAUUGGUCUCACUGUAAGAGAGAGUUUCAUAAUGAGGAGACAGGUAGUGAAAGAAAAUCCUCUGUGCCAAAGAAGCCAGAUUACACCAGAGAUCAUGAGUUUAUUGAACAUAUAUAUCAGAACAAUGGCUACAAAUUCCAUAUGGAUGAAUCGGCUUUUACUAGAGGAGUUGUUAAUUCGAGUGCUGGCAGAGGGCCUGUUAAACUAAAUCGUAAUGAACAACAGGAGAAACUGAGGGAUGUUUCCAGAGAAUGUGCACAGAAAGCAAACCUGAAAAACGUAUCGUCUUCACAAAGAAAAGUUACAGAGAAAACACAGAAGAAAGAAACCUCCAGACCUAAGGAAUUGUCAGGAGAAAUGGCAUACCAAUCAAAGCCCUGUACAGUAGUGCAUCUCAAGUCUGAAUCCUCCCCCACUAUUAAUGGCUUUAGGAAGUAUCCUGAUCCACAUUUUUACAGCAGUCAGGGAAGAGGUCCGUACAAGCAAGAGAGACCCAUGAAUCAGUCAAGACAAACUUCUUCUUUUAAUGCAGGACAUGCCACAAUUCCUGAAACCAAGCAAGUGGCCAGGGUGAAAAAUAACUUAUCAGCUGGUUAUGAUACAGACAGCAGUCAGGAAUACAGAGAAAAACCAAACUCCAGGAACAAAAAAACUUGGAGGCCUAUGCGAGAGACACUCAAUGUGGACAGCAUUUUCAGUGACAAUGAGAAAAGUCAACAUAGCCCCAGACAUUUAGUAGGCUCAAAUGGAAAACAGUGUGCCAAGGACCAUAGUUUUAACCCUCCAUCAAAAGAAAGUCCAAAGCUUAAUACUCUGAUGACUAUCUUUGAGGAUGAGAUAAAACAGGAAUCUGGAAGCAGGAGUUCCUUGGAAUCUUUAGGAAAAAGUCAAGGAGAAAGGAAUAAAGUUACUCCAGAUAUGCAGAUAUACCAUCUUGACAACUGGCAGAGAACUGAAUCUGGAUAUGAAAGUAGUGAUCACAUCAGCAGUGGGUCAAGCAAUCUGGAUUCUCCUAUUAUUGAAGGAACUGGUUUUGCUGAUGGAAAGGGCUUGCAAGAAACCAGCCUGUGCAGUGAUCAGCAACAGUCAACAAAUGCAUUGUCUACCUCACCACAAACAAGAAGUCAUCUAAAUGGUGCAAACAAAGAACACCAUGGUCUGGAGCUUUGGAAAUCUGAAGAUCGACUUUCUAUAGUUCCCCAGGAACCUGCACGCAGCCCAUCAGGUCUAAGGAAGCAGUUUGUUGAAUUGAGAAGAGACCUACGCUCACCAAACCUGUUGCCAGCAUCCAGUGAGGAUGUUAAGGAGGCCUUUAUGAGUAAGUCAGAUGAUAGUCUGGAAUGUUCUAGCUGGUUGAAUUCAUGCUCUUCAGACAAUUGUCAUUUGCAACAUGAAAAUAUUCAUUCGCUGCGAGAGACUUCAGUGGGCCCAGCAAAAAUGGUGAAUAAUGGAUUGUGUUCACAGAGACCGUAUGUUUCAGCAACAGGGUCUCUAGCUAAAACCUCUUCACAGCCAGCCUCUCAGAGCAACAAGCUGCACUACGUGAAUUCUCAGUUUUUCAUAUUCGGUGAGGAUCAGUCAUGCAGCAGAGAUGAACACUGCUCCAUAGAUCAUCCUGAAGCACCUCCUCCUCCUCUGCCCCCGAAAAAAUAUAUAAGAAAUGCGGCGCAAAGAACUGAACAAAACUUUGCAUUAACGAUCAACAGUAAGCUUUCUGAAACAUUAGCACGUGCUUAUCCUGCAAUCUCCGAGAGACAUUUAUCUGGGGAUUACAUCAGGUCUGAGCCUGAUAGUGGCUAUUAUCCAAAGGAUGAAUCCUUUCAUGGUACUGAAAUUCAUAUAAAGACCUCUAACCUGGCUGGUUCCUCCUCUUAUGACUGUCAGCAAAAGGUGAACCAGCACACUAUGGGUAGAGAUGUUUCUCCGAAUAUAAAUGAUCCCAUUGCACCCACUACUUACUUUUCAGUUGACAACUGUAUGACGGACACGUACAGGAUGAAAUAUCAUCACAGGCCCAGGCUGAACAUGGGAGACCAUUCUGGAUAUAAGAGAGAACCUGGUCACCUACAGCUAACCGAUAAAUUAAUGGAACCAGCUUACCACAGAACUCUAGAAAAUGCUCACACUUCACGUUCCAAACAAACUUUGGGAGGCAUACCCUGUAAUCGGUAGUCUGAUUUGUUUUGUUUUUUUAAUUUAUUCCAGAAUCAUUUCUAUACAUGUUUUACUUUUGUAUAAUACAGAGUGUACACUCAAACUGCAGAGCUUUGAGCUUUUUCAGAAUCUUUUAGUAUGUUUACAGUAACAAUCUAAGCAAACGUGUAAUCUGUCUUUCAACGUUUGGCUUUUAUCUUCCUUUCUAUCGGAACUUUAUGCCAGCUGGCGCAGUAUAGUUUCUAGUGUCGCAUCAUGGACCCUAGCAACCAGGAACAGGGCAGAAAUUACAUUUAGAUUUAUAGGUUUAAUUACUAUUAUUUUUAUUACUUUGUUUUUAAAUCAGACUUGGAGGGUGUGAAGAAAAAGGCCAAGAUAACAUGCUGACCGUUUAUGUUUAGGUAAACAUCUCCUUUCUUUCCUGCUAGUCUCUGUCUAUUGGAGUUUUAAGACAGGUUCUUAAACCAAAGCGUGCGUGUGCGGGGAAGGGUGGGGUUAAAACUGUAUAUUUUAUUAACAAGAAAUGUUUUAUAACAGUGUAUAAAAUUUGUAUAUUUUCAUGGCAACAGAGAAUCUCGGCAGUAUAUUGCAAAGCUGUUUCGUUAUUUAAAAGUAGAACUUACUUUUUUUUGUGCAUGGUUGAAUUGUGAAAUCUGCAGCUUUAUUUUUAUUACAGGAAAUGUUCAUUUUAGAUGGGAUUAGACAGGUUUGGCUUAAAAUAAGAGUUUAUAUUUGACAAGGGAAUAUUAAUAUGUCCUGCUUAGGGCCAAAAGUAUGGGCAUGCUAGGUACAUUUCUAUUUAUUUUCUCAACCAAACACAUUUUUGGGUGAUUGAAUAUUGCUUCUUUUCAGCCAGCAGCACACAGGGCAUAUUUCAGGGUUUUGCCUAUCACAUUUUUGCAGAGAAAUGGCAAAAACCUGCCCCCCGAUAGAGUUAUGUAAUUUACAUACCAAUUGCAACCUGUAAACCCAAAUUUAGGGCAGAUUUUUCAACGUGAAAUUAGUUUAGUACAGAAAAAUUCACCCAAUCUUUAUUAAUUAUUAUAGGGUUUUUCAAAGCAUAUUUAUCAAACGGUGAACUGUAACAUUUAGACAUUGAUAACUAUGCUACUAAAAAUCCCACUGGAAUGAGUAGGAAUGAGUAGAAAGUGGGUGAUUUUUCUGUGGUGAUCUCUGAUUUCACACUUUGCCAAAUCCGCCCCUAAGAGUGUUUGUAUGUUGAAGUCACCUGACAAGUCCCAUUGCUGUUACGUUCAUGUCGUUUCCAUUAACCUAUAAACACCUGAAACCCACCAUGUAUGCUAUAGCAUUUUGUGUGUACAUAUAAACAUAAUGCUUACAGAUGUGUCAGUCAUAGAUAUCUGCCUCAUAGGGGGCAAGAAGCACAGCCAGUUCCAUUCAUUUAUAUAUGCAGAGAAACAGAUGUUUUAUUGUCCUAGGGAAUUAUAUAACAGAUGAACAUUAUUAAAAGUCGGUUUAGCUACCCUUUAGGUUGCACACAGCUAAGGCACUUUAUUAAGAAUGCAAAUUGUUUAUGCAGAUAUAUAUAUAUAGUACAAAAUGGGAACUUUUUCAGAUUAAUGGAGUACAUAUGUAUGGGUAAAAUUAAUCCUGUUUAAUGCAGGUAAAUUAGAGCAAUUUGUUUGGGGGAAUUUUAGUUCCACGCCAAUAAUAUUUUUCUGUUCUAAAAUAACAAAAAAAACUAGUAAGCACACCAAAGGCAUAUAUUUUUUUAGAAUAAUGGUAAAUAUGCACUGUUUUGUACCAAUCCGAGAUGGAAUGAGUAAUUUUGCUCUUUCAGCAGAUAUUUGUAUAAUGCAAAUUUGCAUACGGAGAACUAACUCCCGUCACACAGUAACAGCAGCAGUCUUUGAAUGGAGAAAAAGUCUAAAUCUUUCCUCAAAUUGAAACGGUCCAGACAUUUUAUCCGAGCUAAGGGUAUAAAGUUUGCUGCUACUAAGGGCCAGUUCUUGAUGUAUGCCAUACACACUAAAUCAUGAAGAUCACAUGGAAGCCAUUGCAAAGUGGAAGGCAAGUGUGACCGUCCCAUGGUAUUGGCAACAAGUAAAGCUUUCCUACUUAUUGUGUGAAUGUCACAGGCCAUAUUUAAUUAUAUAAGAAUAUAUGCAAGCACAAUGCUGCUCCUAAUUAUCACCGAUAGAUCCAAUCUUAUCCCUUCAGUUAAUACUGAUACACUGGGUUCUGCUGUAAUAAUAUUUAUAUGGCAGUUUGAGCUUUUCCUUCACUUGGAGCCACAGAGCACAGUAAGGGCAGUGGCACAUGGGAUGAUUUGUCGACCGCAAUUUUUGAGUGGGUGACAAAUGUCCUGAAAAUGCCUCUCCAUUGCCAAUAAUUGAAAUAACUGGCGGCAUGCCCAACUUAUUGUUAAAUCGCCCGAACUUUCCUCCAGAGGCAACUUUGGGCAAUUUAGCGAUAAGUUGGGCAUGCCGUCAACGAUUGGCAAUGGAGAAGCAUUUUCAGGAGAUUUUUUACCCGUGCCGUGCAUAAAAAAAUGUGGGUGACAAAUCUUCAUACUAGGAUACUAAAACCAGGGCUGUCUAAACUGUGUUGUAUAGUUGUACAAUACCUAGUCAAAGGCUGCUGAAUACUAGGCUUGAGAGUUCAACAAUAGCUGAAGGGCUGCAAGUUGGACACCCCUCAACGUGAUAUGCCCUGUGUUCAGGCUGUAAUUCUUUUUUGUGCCUUUUAACACAUCCACGGACAACUGAAUGCAGGGGUCUUUACUUAUACAUAUUGAAAUAGGAAUACCCGUAUACAGCUGAUGGCGGGGGUCUUGAAACCACAGUACAUCACAGGGCAAAGCACUUGUCAGUACAUAGAACUAAAAUACUGUAGCUUCAAACUCAGACAACACACAUCCCCAAUUGUGAUACUAUAGAGAAAUAUGCUUGCUGUGAUUGAGUGGAAAAGACUUGUACCCUUUUGGAAAUCAGCUGUUUUAUUAUUCAUGCAUUCUGAUGUGUUAUUGUUGUUUUUUUUAAGUCUUGAAAGUGGGCUUAACACUUUUUGUAUGGGUUUGCUUCCGUG